rnacentral:rRNA from 1 species
GAUGAACGCUGGCGGUAUGCUUGACACAUGCAAGUCGAACGAGGUUUUUUACUAUGAUCUUCGGUGAUUGGUUCUAAACCUAGUGGCGGACGGGUGAAUAACACGUAAGAACCUGCCUUUAAGAAGAGGAUAACAAUUGGAAACGGUUGCUAAUACUCUAUAUACCUCCGGGUAAAAGAUUUAUCGCUUAAAGAGGGGCUUGCGCCUGAUUAGCUAGUUGGUUGGGUAAUGGCUGACCAAGGCAACGAUCAGUAGCUGGCUUGAGAGGGUGACCAGCCACACUGGGACUGAGACACGGCCCAGACUCCUACGGGAGGCAGCAGUGAGGAAUUUUCCGCAAUGGGCGAAAGCCUGACGGAGCAAUACCGCGUGGAGGAUGAAGGUUCAUGGAUUGUAAACUCCUUUUCUUAGAGAAGAAAAAAAUGACGGUAUCUAAGGAAUAAGCAUCGGCUAACUCCGUGCCAGCCGCCGCCGUAACAC